GCUGAAGCAAAAGAUUUGCAUUUAAGGAGAGAAAUACACCCUGAAAUUUGAGUUUGAAAGAUUAGAACAUAGAGGGUCUCUACAGUGUUUUUCUGCAACACCAAGUAGUCAAAUCUAUUUAUAGAAACUCUGAUUACAACAGAAAUUUUAAAAUGAAAUUUUCCACAUCGGUAUUUUGUAGGAAAGCUCUUAUAAUCAAUGCUUAAGCUGCUUUUUGAGGCUUUUCUUGUACAGAGGUUGCAGCCAAUUACAUUUUAAUUGGUAGGCUGCUGAAUAAUGUUUUUGUAUGUUUUAAAAUAAUAUUUAUUUUAAUAGGUUUUUUAACAUUAUGCAAAUCCCAAUAAAGAACUGACACGUUCCAUAGGCCAUUGACUGGGAAAUUUUGUGAAACACAGCCUAAAUACACAGUUUUUACACCAACUAAUUUGUCUUGCCUUUAAAACUGAUUAUAACUCUUCUUUAAGUACAACUUUUAUAAAGAAAAAAUACAACACUAAGACUGUAUGUUCUGUAAAUUAUAGUGUGAUGACCCAUGCAGAACCGCUGUCUGAAGCUUACUCAGCGAUUCAUAGCCAUCUCCAGCCAUGUUUUAUCAAAUCACACACUAAAAAUAAAUGGAAAUGCUACAGUGAAAAACCAAAAGUUACAGAGCAACAUAAGUAAAAUGACUAGGCAGUUUCUUAGUAACAUGUUUGAAAUGGGAAAGGUGACUGACUGCCUUUCACCAGAGUCUUAGCUGUUUCACGUUCACUAUUUUAGGUUAAUUUUCUUGGGAAAUCAAUUUGAAUAUUCCCCCCUGUCCUUUUGCAUUAAAGGACGAAAAUAUAUGUUGAGAGUUUGACAGACUUUUUAAAUAUGCCUCUUUCCCAAUUUUAUGUAUUUUUGGUUCUGCGCACACAGAUUUAUCAAUGAAGUACAUUUGCCUCUGGCUUUAUCACAAGGAAAAAGGAAUCAAACAUUGAACACAAAUGUGUUCCAAACCAGUCUUGUCCAUCUUGUCACUUUUAUGUGACUGCUCCUCUGAACCAGAAGGGGCACGAUAGAAGGCCAUAGGAAUGAAAGUAAAUCAUUCAGGUGAAGUGAGAAAUUCUUCCAUAUACAGAGUGAAAAUGUGUGAUUUCAUUCCUGCCUUCCUUUAAACGUUGUCUUGAUCUCUGCCUAGUAGUAGUUGAGCCCUCAGUCGCCCAAACAUGAGGAGAGACCCAACUCCAGCAGCCAGAAUUUAGUAUUUACAUUUGCCUUCCCAAGUUGAGAAUAGAAUGUGGUGUUCUGUGCUUUCUGUUUUUAUUAUUCCAAAAUAUUUUUUUAAAGAAGUGUUAUUUUUCAACAGAUUCAUAAAUUAGUUCCUGAUGUACGGUAAAUUAAAACUCCCACUGUGUCAGUCAAACUGAGAUGUGCUCAUUUCAUAACCACUCAUUUCUAGUCUGUCAGAGCUGCACUGGUGGCUUAUUGCUGGUUUUUAAAGGUGUUUUUAACUUACAUGUAACAUGUUUAGGACAUGUUUUUUUUUUCUAAUUUGUGUGUCUUUACAACUGAUUAAACAGUAGUUUAAAAAUA
rnacentral:lncRNA from 1 species